rnacentral:lncRNA from 1 species
GGCCGUUGUAUGAUUUUAUACUGUUGCAGUAUCAUCAUAAUGAGUAUUCCAGGUAGUUUAGAUUUCAGUUACACUCAUGCUGGGAUGCCGAGUAUAUUUUUACAGUAGCGUUCAGGCUGUUCCGGACUAUUGGGUGCCGUCGGGGUUAACGGUGGACUCGUAUCGCCUUUUUGGCGACAGAUUGUGCCGAUGGCACGUUACCUGUUGGUUGUUAGACCAGUUUGAGUCAGUUACUGGACUUUGGCUUUCGAGAGCCUGAUUGAGCUCGACAGAGAUACGCUGCAUACUCGGUUGGGUAGCUCCCACGAGUGCCACUCCGGAGACGGGCGCUGUGCUUUCGCGUUGGUGUCGCUCAUGCCGGUUGGACUUGCUCUCCACGGACUAGUAGUGUGGAGGUAGCUGGAUAGUCACAACUGGGCAGGGACGGGUGUGUUCACAGUCCCAGGGACGGGUAUGCUUACAGUCCCGAUUGGAUUCGGUCAGAUUUGACAUUUCCUACAGUGGGUUAGUGUAGAGCAUGAUAGUGUAGUGAUUCAUAGCGGUAGAUUUUAUUCCUGCAUUUACUACUAUAUUUGCUCCCUUCUGUGGACUCAGUUGGUGGACCGAUGUUGUUGAGGGCUGCACCCACUGAGGACUACCUGUUUUUACAGUAGUUCUCACGUCCUGUUGUUACCCCUAUUUUUGCAGAGCCAUCGUCGUCGGCUGCUGCUGUCGAAGAUCAGGAUCGAGGCAAGGGCGUCGCGAGUUAGAGCCCUACCAGACGUGCCGAGCUAGAGGUACCCCUACUGCAGGUAGAUGUCUUGUUUUGAGUUCAUGUACAUGGUACACUUAACUCGCCAGUGCGAGUAGCUCUGUACUUUUUGGUUUUGGACUAUGUAUAUGGAACUCCGUUUAUUUAGCUUCUGUUUACUCUAGUAGCUCUAUACUACUGUUUGUAGUAUUGUAUGGUUUACAGGUACAACUGUCGCUUCGUAUACAGAAGAAAUUUCUUUGUAUACGGCGGAUUUGUCGGCAUGCCCGGGGAACGUGUAAUCCGGGGCGUGACACGAAGGCUGCCGGAUUAGUACUGCUCACUUAGUUAGAACCUGCACGUACACCCAAAAUAUUCUCAGAGCAAAUAAGAGCAACCGGUUGCCUACGAAGUAGGCCAUCCAAAGUGCCCCCAUCACCAGUCAAGAACACCCGAGGCACUCUCAAUUAUUGCAACCAUGCAACUCUUAAUUAUCGCAACUAUCCGACAUUGAAGGGGAAAGUCAUCAUAGCAUGGGACGAAGGAGGCAAAGUCAAAGUCGCAAGAAAUAAAGAGGCUAAAUUCAAAAGCCAUUCAAGAGUGAGGUCAUCAGCAAAGCACGCGAAAACCAACCAAACAUUAUCGCAAACCACGCAGGACAUAGGUAUCAAUAGAAACAUUAAAACUUUUGAGUUCUGAGAUGGGUUAUGUGUCGGGAAGAAACAGAGAAUACAGUUUUAAGAAAGCUAGGUACAAAAAAAAAAUUUGGGCAAGAACUAGCGCAGACAAACACAGUAAAUCAAUAUUGUGAAUACAGUUUUGGAAAAUCUGGGCAGCAAAAAAAUUUUAGGUGAAAAUUUGCGCAAAACUUAUGAUGAAACCUUCGCUUUAGAAAGUAGAGCAAAAAGCAUAGAACUCUACCAAACACAUUAAAUCAAUGAAGACAAUGCAGUUUAAAAGCCUCCCGAUGGCAAAAAAAAUCCCCGAGAAAAGCUUGCGCAAGAACAACGCUAAAACCUGAACAAAUCUAAAGAAAAAAAAUGCUAAUGUACAUAAGACCGAAGCAAGGCCCACGACUAUAAGGGAUUUUAUGCAAGUUCAGCUUUGGAUUUUUAGGUAGCAGCUAUUGCCUUUAAAUGUCAGUUUAUAUAUUGAAGAUACACAAUCUUUGCAAAUUUGAAACCAAUUGUAAAUGAAAUUUUGUUUGGUCGUUUGGCUACUAUGAUGAUGUAUACUCUAUACAUCAGAUGGCACAUGAAAAUCGAACCGAAAAUAAACCCUCAGCGAACAACGGAGAAAGAUGAGAAACAACAUAACGAAUGAGCCUAUGGAAAUGGGAAUAAACCAUUCAUAUAUAUAUAUAGAAGCCAGGUAAGGAAAACCGAAUAGCGAAAAUAAAUAUAUUUUGCUCAGACUCCCCCGACCAUCGAACAUUAUUAGAUUGGCGCCGAAACCUGGCCACUCAAUACUGGAGAUUGAGUUACAACCGACAUGUACACCGAAAGCAUUCUUAGCCCAAAUAAGAACAACUGGUUGCCUAGGAAAAAGGCUAUCCAAAGUGCCCCUACCACCAGUGAAGAAGUAGACCAAUUGGUUGCCUAUGAAGUAGGCCAUCCAAAGUGCCCCUAUCACCAGUGGAGAAGUAGGCCAUUGAAAAUGCCCCUAUCAUCAACCAAGAAGGCCCGGCGCGUUCUCAAUUAUCGCAAGUAUCUCACAUUCAAGGGGAAGGUCAUCAUAGCAUGGGACAAAAAGAAGUGAAGAGAAACUCUGGAAAAAUAGAAUGACUGGACUAAAAGCGAGGAAAGCAAAGUACCCCAAAAGCAACAAAACAUUAUCACAAACCACGCCGAUCUUAAUUCAACAUAUGCAGGAGUAAAUCAAAAUAUGUCGCAUUAAGAAUUCAACAUAUUGAAUUCUGAACCGCCUAGCCGAAAUCUGAAUUCAAUAUGCUGAAUUCAACAUAUUGUCUAGUUGAAUUGAGCUGAGUUCAGAAUUCUCGAUGGAAUUUCAAAUUGUGUUGAUGAAUUCUGUAUCCCACGCAAUUGCCAAGCUUAUAUCGGAGACCAUCAACUAAACAAUCUCAGCAGUCAGAUGUUCUAUUGCGCAUGAUAGUAAUCUAAAGCAUAAAAGAUAGUACUUAAAAUCAUUUAAUUUGACAUUGCAAAUUUGAGCACACUGAAGAGAAAAAAUCAAAUACUAAAAUCAAACUAAAAUGACCAGGUUGCUAGUUCUUCUUUUCGAAUGAGGGCUAGGAGCAUACUGACAUUCAAUCAUUUCACAUACUAAAUUUCACCAACAGUCUUAUAGAAUUCAGAUUCCUGAAUUCCAAUUGGUUGAUAUCUAACAUUCAAGGAAGGAAUAAACCCUAAAAGCUUGUAGGAUUGUUGAGGUAGAGAAAAUAAAUUAAACCAACUGGGAAGUUUAUGCAGCUUAAAAAGAGCUUGACAUUGAAAUAAAACGGCCCAGAGACGGAAGGGAAGCUCAAAUUACGUGCCAUAGUUUAAGCCCAAAGUACAUAUUGCAUCCUCUGGUAGAAAUGGGUAACACUUAAAACCACACGAUCUAGACGCGGAAUACAAAGAACAUGCCCGGUUCCCCUUUAGAAAUGUUGAGGUGGAGCAAGCAAAUUAAAUCAAUUGCAAACUUUAUGCAUCUUGAAAAGAGCUUGAAACCUUUAGAGGACUAACCAACGCAUAAAAUCAAACAGCAUAGGCACGGUUGGGAAGGAAGCUCAAAGUACAUGCUAAAUUUUAAACCCAAAGGGUGCAUUGCAAAAUAAAGGACAGGACGAAAGGAGUCGACAGCACAUGCCAAAAGCUACAAAGUUUAGCUUACAGUACAUAGAUUAUUUUACAGAUAAGGAAAAAACAAAGCAUUAUAAGCUAUGAGAAUCAACUCUGAAGUACAAAAAGAGCUGAAGGAACACUCGGACACCUAAGAAACACUAAAGGACACGGAGAAAGAAAGCAGCGGCAAGCAGGCGCAAGCUUGCAGUACAUAUGUAGCCCAAGGAAGAAGUGCAGGACUAAGAAGCCGACUCUGAUUCAGAAGGGUCAGUCGCCACAGCAGUUUGGUCCGCACGAAGAUGAUUGAUGGCCGCAUGAUAUUCGUCAAUCGUACGACACAUUUUCACGUGCUCAUCUAUAUACCUCACUUUUUCGGCAACAGAAGAAGAGUAACAAUCUCUCAGAAUAUUGUGUUCACGCUUCAAUUUAUUGAACUGCCCAAGGAGAUCACUGUACUGUACCAUAACAUUAUCGUACAUACUUUUAUACAUUACGCAGUCAUCAUAAUUUAUAUCUUUUAUAUGCAGAUCAAGCUCAGCCUUCAUUCGCUGGAUAGCCACACGGGCUGAAUCAUCCUUUGCUAGGAGAAAAUUAGGGGAUGGAGCACCCUAAUAGCGUGCAAUUUCGACAAUCGCCCCACUGCGUGCAAUAGGAAGGUCUAUAUACGCUACGAACCAACCUUCAGCACUGACAGUUGCAACACAAUUAGGCAUCCCGACACCCAAUUUCUCACAAAUUUUCUCAAGUAAUUUACUAGAAGAGAGCUGAACAACCGACAUCCUGACAACUGUAGUCAAAAUGAAAAUCGGAGAAUGAAGCAACUAAUUUAGAGAAUGCCACUUAUCAAGCAAUUAAUAGAUCAAUAGAUCGAUCCAAUUUUUUUAAAAAAUUUUUGUCGAGUAUAAGGGUGAGAGCAGAUGAAUUGGAAAAUAUCAAAAGGCACAUACGACAAAAUAUGCAUUCAACCAACUGAAAUUUACAUUAAUCGAGAGUAAUAGGGUAUACCUCCACCCCUUGCUUCGUUUUCUUAAAAUAUUUCUCAAGUAUAAGGGUAUGAACAAGGACCUUAGAAAACAUCAGAGCGAUGCCAUUCCUUAAAAAGAUUUGCUUCGUUUUCGAUGCCCAUCGCAAACAUCAGGCGGGUACGGCGUGGCAGGAGGCCUAGCUCCGCCGGCGUGCGCCGUACCCCAACUCCUAUCUAUUUGCGAUGGGCAUCGUUGUCCUUCUCCCCGCCGCCGUCGGAUGUGGUUUGCCUGAUACCCUUAACAUUUAUGGUACGUAAUUAUUACAGCCUAUUCUACAAUCUAAUUUGGCGUACGCCCCUCCCUUCGCCUGCCUAGGCUUCGCCCCCUUCCUCUGCGCCGCUGCCGGGUGUGGGUUCCCUCAUGCCCAUAGUGUUUGUGGUGCCUAAUCAUUGCAGCCCAUUGCACUAUCCAACUUUCUAUAGGCCUCUUGAUCCCUUCAUCUACGAUGGGUGCUUUUCCACUCUCUGAUCUACUCCGCCGCCCUUCUCUCCCCUCCUCUCUCUUUCAUCCCGUGGUAGUACGAUCGGUCCCCCAGGGCAACUUGCCCUAUUCCCCCGCAUCCCCAUCCCCCUCUUGCUCCCCAGUUGCAGCAAGGGCCUAUAAAUAUCCCUGCAUCUAUACAGAGAUGCCAUGAAUUGGUUGCCUCCGUUUACAAACUUUAGGCUUUUGAGAUUGUAUUCAUAGAGUUGAUCCCUCUACUUCUGGUGUUCUGGUAGCUCCUCCUGUGAGACUCUCUAUACUCUACCUCCAUUUAGAAGGUUUGCUUUAGAUUCCGUCGGCUGUUAGGGAAAGGAGUCAAUCCCCUGUGCUUUUGGUGUUCUACUAGGCCCUCCUAUAAUACUCACUGCACUUUGAGAUGGUUACCUCAGUUCCCAAGGUUUGGAUAACUGAUUUUAUACAAUUUUUUACAGAAAAUUUCGAGUGGCUGAUGUCACUACUUUGGCUUUCCUUCUAGGUUGUCUGCUACUGUGGCCUGUUCAUCGCCCAGCUUUCCUUACUGUUCCUGCACUUUUGUUUUCUCGGCCCUCUUGGGGAGUGGUGGCUCAGUCUACUCGCUCUAAAUUAUGAUAUACAUAAUUCAGCAAUCUCUUAACAAAUCUUUUUAAGAAAUGAGAUUACUCUGAUAUUUUCUAAGGUCCCUGCUCAUACCCUUAUACUUAAGAAAUAUUUUAAGAAAACGAAGCAAAUCUUUUUAAGAAAACGAAGCAAAUCUUUUUAAGGAAUGGCAUCGCUCUGAUGUUUUCUAAUGUCCCUAUUCACACCCUUAUACUUAAGAAAUAUUUUAAGAAACGAAGCAAGGGGUGGAGGUCUACCCUGUUACUCUCAAUUAUGGUAAAUUUCAAUUGGCUGAAAGCAUAUUUUGUCGUAUGUGUCUUCUGAUAUUUUCCAAUUCAUCUGCUCGCACCCUUAUACUCGACAAAAUUUUUAAAAAAAUUUGGAUCAAUCUAUUGAUCUAUUGUGUAAUAUACCGAGAAUUCAGAAAAUAAAUAUCGAACUUUAGUCAAACUGACCAAAGUGCGAGGAUGGUACACUUCGGAAAGUCCGAAGAUGUUAAAAUGACCAAAGGUGCGUUAUGGGAGGUUUUCGAGAGCUAAAGAAUCAAAAUCUGCAUUCUGCAGGUUUUGUGCUCUCGGGGACCGGUCCCUGGUUGGAGAGACCGGUCCCCGAACACGUGAGAAAUGAGAAAGGCCGAAAAUCAGCUAAGUCCCAGAAAACCAGCUCUCGGGAACCAGUCCCUGCGGGGAGAGACCGGUCCCCGAGAGACCGGUCCCCAGUGAGAGACCGGUUGCAUUGCGGGAAGCCCUGCGCAGCUGUGGGGAGAGCUCUCUGGGACUGGUCCCAAAUCGGGGAGAUCGGUCCCCGAACCCGAAAACUGCCCAGUUCAAGCAGUUCAAUAAAGUGAAAGUUGAGGGGUCUAUUUGCAUUUGUGCAACCCAAUGGUUAAGUGGAGGGCUUUGAGGGCUUUUCCUCUCAUUCUCUCCCUCACAUUCCCCCUCUCUCCUCUCUUUCUCAAUGUGGGCAAGUUAAUGUGGCGAAAUCCCCGGGUUAGCCGUGAGAUUAAAGAAUAAGAACAAAGAACAAAGAGUAAAGAAUAAAGAGUAAAGAACAAAGAACUUGCAUAAUUUGCAUAAUUUUACGUUGAGCAUAUUCCUUGCUUUAUUGUUCAGGCAUAUUAGCAUCAUGAUUAUAGUUUGGUUACUAUUCUGCUUAUCCUUUCUAUUAUGCCUAAGUUAGUCCUAGUGGGAAAGUCGGUGAUGUUGGGGCCGAACCCACUGGGAACUUUAUUGUAGUUCUCACCCCACUAUUCCACAGAGCCGGGACCGAGCGAGCCGGCGAGCGACCGCGGUAAAGGUAUCGCACCGUAGUCAGAGGCCACCAGAGUUGGGUUUACAUUUUGUUAGUAGAUUACCCUUUUUCAUCUUUUGUAUUUGAUGAUUUAAGAUGUUGAUGUAUAAAGUAAAGAAAAAAAAGAAAUGUAAUGUUUAUUUUGAGC